UCAGUGCUUGGACCAAUUCUAUUUACUUUCUAUAUGCUUUCUUUAGGCAAUAUUAUUAGGAAACACUCAAAUGACUUUCACUGUUAUGCUGAUGAUACCCAAUUAAACCUAUCAAUCAAUCCAGAGGAAAUCAGUGAAUU